UUGGGUGAUAAUAUGUCCCAAAUAUAAUAUUUCUUUUUUCAAGAAAUUCCACUUUUGAGGGUUCAAAGAUAACCCCGAUGUUCCUAAACGACCUAAAACAGCUUUUAAUUUUUGACUGUGAUCAAUAAGUGAUGAGGCAUAGAUGACAAUGUCAUCCAUAUAAACAAAUAGAUCAAUUCCUUGUAAAUCAGUCAGAACUUGGUCCAUCACCCUUUGCAAGGUAGCAGGGGCAUUUUUAAGUCAAAAUGACAAUCUAUUGAACUCGAAAUGAGAGAAUGGAGUAGAAAAAGCAGUUUUUGCUUUGGAUUCGGGAUCCAUGGGUAUUUGAUGGAAACCUGAUGCUAAAUCCUUAACAGAAAAAUAUUUAGCUCCUCCUAAUUGAUCUAAUAUCUCUGUUAUUUGCGGUAAAGGGUAAGAAUCACUAAUGGUUUUUUCGUUCAAUCCACGAUAAUCAACCACCAUUCUCCAUUUUUUAUUACCAUGAAGAUCUGGUUUUUUGGGAACGAACCAAACAGGAGAAUCAUAUGGGGAUACUGAUGGUCGAAUUAUUCCAUCUCGAAGAUAUUCUUUAGUUUUUUCCAUAAUCACUUUUUUAUGAAUAGGUGGAUGAAGAUAAUUUUUUAUGUUUACCGGUUUAUUAUCAGAAGGGACAAUCUUAUGGGCAACAACAUUAGUUGAUCCCAAUUUGUCACUAGGAAGAUGAAAUUGCUGAGAAUAAUAAAAAAAUAUUGGGAAGAGACUUCCUUUCUCUUCAUUAUUUAAAUCAGAAAGAAUCACACUUUUCAAAAUUGCAGCAAAUCUAGAAGCCUGUUUUCUUUCAUCAGCAGAAAUUUUAGAAUCCUCAGAAUCAAUUUCAAAAUAUUCUUCAAGUUCAACUGGUGGUAUUGUUAGAUUUAUUUGCUGAUUAUUGGAAUUUAUAAAGAAGAUGUUAACAGUUCCGUUUUCAUUAAAAAUCCAAGACUCACCAGCAAAAAUUCCAGGGCCAAACUGAAUUCUAAGUAAACUGAUUGUCCUAUGGAAGUCAAACGGAAAAUUAAUAUUUCCUAUUUGAAGACAGUCACUUUCAAAAUGUACAAUGGCGUUAUGUUUUUUGAGGAAAGGAAUACCACGGAUACCUUCUUACGGAAUGGGAAAUGAUUUUGACACAACGAGGAAAGAAGCUUCCAGACCCCUUAUGAUCAACCUGAUCUCAUCGAUAGUGGAAACCAUCUCCGGGCCUAUUCCAACCAAAUGAAUUAUUCGAUUUUUAUUUAUCCAAACCGUGGGACUCACCACAUUUUCUUUAAUUAAGUUUAUUCCAGCACCAGUAUCAAUUAAAAAGCUCAUCUUAUUCUUUGAAAAAGAACAAUUUUCAAAUUGUACUGUCGCAUUUAGACCGAAUUCAUUAAACUGUCCGAGUGAGAGGAUGAUGCGCUGGGUUGAGAGGGGUUUACACUUGGAGUCGUCUGGCCUUUCGUCAGACAACCUGCCUCGAAGUUUAAAUGACUCACAUUUGAUUUUUGUCUAAACUUAGACCGUUCCCUUUCAUGCCUUCUUUUAAUGUUACAAUUCUUUACAGAAUGGUUAUUUCGAUAACAAUAACUACAAUCUGUACACCCUUUGUCUUUUACAUUUCUUUUAAUCUUUUUUGGAAAUUUCGCUUAUAAUGCCCAAAUUCUUUACAAUGACAACACUGCACAGACUCUAAAUUUCGUACGGGCUUAGUAUCAUCUUCUACUCGCAUAUGAGCUACUCUCUUUAAUAUAUCUAGCCCUAUUUUAUUCUUUAAAUUAGAUCCCGAUGAGGUAGAUGGAAUGGAGCCAGACAGAGAUCCAUGAACUCUUCCCCAACAUUUCACUUUUUGAUCGGCUUUAAUGGCUAAUGAUAUACCAUCCAAUUUCCUAUUCGGAGCCAUGUUACAAAAAUUUUUUUUUCAAGACUUACUCUUUUGACGACAAUCUUUUGGAGACAAAUAAUCCAAUUAAUAGUGCAGAAUAAAAUUCACAACACUGUUGACCUUAAUAUUUCACAUUUAUUCACUCAAUUCUUCAUCCUUCCAGGAAGAUUUUCUGAAUUGCUUGAGUUUUCUGGAUCCUUCAGGAAUUUCCUACGAGUAGUUGUUAUUAAUUUCCCUGCGGUUGAUCCCAAGGUGCCAUACACUCUUCCGUUUCGGGCAGGUAACUCAGCAUCAAUUUUUUAUUUUCCACAUUCAGGUAAGGAUUUUCUUAUUGAAAAAUUAUUUUAUCCUUUUAAGCCUACGGUUAUUGAGGAAUAGUUUGGUGGUCUCUAUUUAACCGUUAGCAACCUUGGUGCAAUUGUCGACACCCUAUGCUACCGGAAGUAAAACCACCCCAAAAAAAACCCUGAUUCAAAAGACAGCACCUUUUAUCUGUGGAGUAGUCUCCUUUGUGGUAAGAGGAACAGCCUUGGAUUUCAAUCAGUGAGUCAGUAGUCCAGUGACCCAGUUUUUCUUCAAUUUAUUUAAUUUAUUCCUUUAUGGUGCAACAUAUCUCACCGCUGUCACCAAUUGUAAUACCCAAAUUUCACCGAAGUUUUCUAUCGACAAUUCAGUGCUCUCUGAUUUGACAUCUGAACGGGAUCGUCGAUUCGUUGAAACGAACACCAUUUGAAGGAACUUAUUUGAAAUAAGAACACUUAAUUUAACAUUUGAUGAUUCACAACCUAUUAAAGAUGCAUUUCCACCAUCAUUGUCUCAGAGGU